rnacentral:rRNA from 1 species
UGAGGAAUAUUGGACAAUGGGCGCAAGCCUGAUCCAGCCAUGCCGCGUGCAGGAUGACGGUCCUAUGGAUUGUAAACUGCUUUUGUACAGGAAGAAACAGUUCUACGUGUAGAACCUUGACGGUACUGUAAGAAUAAGGAUCGGCUAACUCCGUGCCAGCAGCCGCGGUAAUACGGAGGAUCCAAGCGUUAUCCGGAAUCAUUGGGUUUAAAGGGUCCGUAGGCGGUUUAAUAAGUCAGUGGUGAAAGCCCAUCGCUCAACGGUGGAACGGCCAUUGAUACUGUUAAACUUGAAUUAUUAGGAAGUAACUAGAAUAUGUAGUGUAGCGGUGAAAUGCUUAGAGAUUACAUGGAAUACCAAUUGCGAAGGCAGGUUACUACUAAUUGAUUGACGCUGAUGGACGAAAGCGUGGGUAGCGAACA